ensembl:lncRNA
CUCCAGUCCAAGGUAGACGGGAUCAUCUCUAAGGAAGCCCCAAAGUCGGUAAUCCCUCCCGGCCAGAUUCUGGUGGAGCAAAUCCCCUCCCGCCGCCCUCAUUUCCUCUUCUCUUGGUUCUGCCUGGGCCUGUCUCUGAACGCCCAGCCUCCUAAGAGCGCAACUUGGAUUCACAAAAGUUCAGAAUCUCAGAGGCUUUCACCUCUCUAUGCCCCAACCCUUCUUUCAUCGCUGACCCUUCUCUACUAGAAGAGUGUUUUUCCUGCUCAGCUGGCGCUGGACGGGUCACUCAUUGGAUGCUUUCCCUGGCUUGGGUGCCCAGUACUGAAUUCCUGUGGUGAGUGCCCUAGAGGGGCCUCCUCAUGUAGCUACCCGCAGUGCCCCCAGCAGAGUGACACACCCGCAUCUUCCCAGAGGGGCUUGAUUUGUGCCCUUCCCUGUGGUGGCCAGUAGCUACCCUGGCACUGUGGCUGGUUUGAAGAGAAAUACGCUGUAUGGCUAAAACAGACACCAGACUUCUAAGACUUAGAGCAACAACAACGACGGAGAAACUCAAGUAUCAUUAAUGGAUGGAUUAUAUGUUGAAAUGAUAUUUUGGAUACUUUAGGUUAAAGAAAAUACUAAACUUCCUUAGCCUGUUUCUUUUUUACCUUUUCUGAGAUGACUAUAAGAAAAUUUAAAAUUACACUUGUGGCUCACAUUGCAUUUCUACUGGGCAGCACUGAUCUGGGGUGAGGCACCAGCCAUUAACUUCACAGGGCUCCUGGGCCCACAAUGCCACCCCUUAACCUUGUUUUUUUCCCUUUUCUUUCCUCCUUAGGCUCUUUGAAAUAACUCCAGAAUGUGGCCUUAAGGCUGAUCCCUUAAGGGAUGAUUUCCACCCACACAGUGAAGAUGGGAUUAAGGGGGAAAGUAAAAAAAAAAUUAAAUCCUCCUUAACUGCCUGAUUAGCUUGUAUUGUGGGUCCCUGGGUACUAUGUUCUUUUAGACUUUAAUUGCUAUCCAUGCAGUGGCCCCUGAGAAACAUGUUUAUUACUGUGAUUGUUAUUAGGCUCAAUAUUAAUAAUAACCAUAAUAAUCAUCUGUUCAACCAGAGUGAGUAAAAUAUUCCACGAGAGUGAGAAGUGCACCCAUUAACUCAGGGCACCAGAGCAUGUGUUUGGAAAAUGAGCUCUUCUAGGAACUAAAGGACCAGAGAAGGCAAUGACACCCCACUCCAGUACUCUUGCCUGGAAAAUCCCAUGAAUGGAGGAGCCUGGUAGGCUGCAAUCCAUGGGGUCGCAAAGAGUCAGACACGACUGAAGCAACUUAGCAGCAGC